AGCAGCCGCGGUAAUUCCAGCUCCAAUAGCGUAUAUUAAAGUUGUUGCAGUUAAAAAGCUCGUAGUUGAAUUUCGGGAUCAAUAUGUUGGUCGUGCCUUGGUACGUACUGGCAUUAUCGAUUCCUACCUUCUGAAGAACCUCGAUGUCAUUAAUUUGGUGUCUUGGGGAAUCAGGACUGUUACUUUGAAAAAAUUGAGUGUUUAAAGCAGGCUCGCGCUUGAAUACAUUAGCAUGGAAUAAUGAAAUAGGACGUUUGAUUCUAUUUUGUUGGUUUCUGGGAUCGACGUAAUGAUUAAUAGGGAUAGUUGGGGGCAUUAGUAUUCAAUUGUCAGAGGUGAAAUUCUUGGAUUUAUUGAAGACUAACUACUGCGAAAGCAUUUGCCAAGGAUGUUUUCAUUAAUCAAGAACGAAAGUUAGGGAUCGAAGACGAUCAGAUACCGUCGUAGUCU
rnacentral:rRNA from 1 species